CUGGCGGCGUGCCUAACACAUGCAAGUCGAGCGGGGAGGAGGAAGCUUGCUUCCGAAUCCUAGCGGCGGACGGGUGAGUAGCGCGUGAGUAACCUGCCUCUCAGAGGGGGAUAACGUUCUGAAAAGAACGCUAAUACCGCAUAUAAUUACGAAACCGCAUGGUUUUGUAAUGAAAGGAGCAAUCCGCUGAGAGAUGGACUCGCGUCUGAUUAGCUAGAUGGUGGGGUAACGGCCUACCAUGGCGACGAUCAGUAGCCGGACUGAGAGGUUGAACGGCCACAUUGGGACUGAGACACGGCCCAGACUCCUACGGGAGGCAGCAGUGGGGGAUAUUGCGCAAUGGGGGAAACCCUGACGCAGCAAUGCCGCGUGAAGGAAGACGGUUUUCGGAUUGUAAACUUCUUUUGUAAAGGACGAUAAUGACGGUACUUUACGAAUAAGCUCCGGCUAACUAUGUG
rnacentral:rRNA from 1 species